GGGACAAGAACCUUGGGCUGUAGAUCCUGUGCUAUGGAGACCCAAGAAAUGCGCCCAUCACAGUGCACCUGAAAGAAAUGAGCCAUUAAGAGAACCAAUUCAUGUAAUUUUUGAAGCAGCUUCACAGAACAACAUUCACAAAAAUGUGAAUAUGCGUUUACAGAAGCUCUUUAUCUCAGACCCUAUUACAGGAAUAAACUUGGAAAGUAAUUCUAUUGUGACAGAGUCACAGAACAUCCCUGGGAACCACGAAGAACCAGGGAAAUGAGCACAGAACCUUAGAAGCUCUCUUGGUCAAGUGUCCAGUGAGAGCCUUUCUGGAGCGUUGAGAACCCAGGUUGCAGCCUGAGCAUUCUGGCAAAGAGCAGGUGUCACCAUCUUGGAGGCUGCUCCUCAGGGUUACAAGGACACCGAGAACAAGAGGGAAGGUGUUCCCUAUCAGCAUCCAAAAGUCAAAAGAGAUGUCCACCUUCUUGCUGUGUCCUCACAUUGUCUUCCUCUGUGUGAGCAUCCAUGAUGUCUCUCUGUCCAAAUUUCUUCUUUUAUAAGGACACCAGUCAGAUCAGGUUGAAAAUCAACUCAUCUAAGAAACAACUUGCCUUGAAAAAUGAAGUUUGGAAAUUACAAAAACACCAUCUUGGGAAAAAAUAAAGACUACAAUAUCCUGAUUGACACAACCAAUAUGGAAACCUCUCACAGUCUGGCAAACAAGCUUCCCUUGAACUGGCAGCAAAAAGGCAGCACCACACUGUGUAUUUAAGACUUUGAAAAGAAUUGUCAUCAUCAUACUGUUCUGCCAUUUUAUAAAAUCCAGUGAAAACCCUCAGAACCCAUGUAAGGAUGAGCAGACUCAUCCUGUAAUCCUCCUUGUGAAAGGGACUCUCCAGGUUGUGAAACACAAUCACUUAUUUUCCUUGAAUCUGGCUGCAUCCCUGAUAAAUUAUGCAGUUCCAUAUGGUCUAGAAUG